CCCCUAGAUGUUCUGGGCCGCACGCGCGCUACACUGAACAGUUCAACAAGUCUUAACCUUGGCCGAUAGGUCUGGGUAAUCUUUGAACGCUGUUCGUGAUUGGGAUAGACCUUUGCAAUUAUGGGUCUUCAACGAGGAAUUCCUAGUAAACGCAAGUCAUCAGCUUGCAUUGAUUACGUCCCUGCCCUUUGUACACACCGCCCGUCGCUCCUACCGAUUGAAUGGUCCGGUGAAAUCUCGGGACGGCGGCUUGGUCGCUUGCGUCCGACUGCUGAAACUUGAUUAAACCAUAUCAUUUAGAGGAAGGUGAAGUCGUANCA
rnacentral:rRNA from 1 species